AGCGAACGCUGGCGGCAGGCCUAACACAUGCAAGUCGAACGAUCCUUCGGGAUAGUGGCGGACGGGUGAGUAACACGUGGGAACGUGCCCUUUGGUUCGGAACAACUCAGGGAAACUUGAGCUAAUACCGGAUGUGCCCUUCGGGGGAAAGAUUUAUCGCCAUUGGAGCGGCCCGCGUCUGAUUAGCUAGUUGGUGAGGUAACGGCUCACCAAGGCGACGAUCAGUAGCUGGUCUGAGAGGAUGAUCAGCCACAUUGGGACUGAGACACGGCCCAAACUCCUACGGGAGGCAGCAGUGGGGAAUCUUGCGCAAUGGGCGAAAGCCUGACGCAGCCAUGCCGCGUGAAUGAUGAAGGUCUUAGGAUUGUAAAAUUCUUUCACCGGGGACGAUAAUGACGGUACCCGGAGAAGAAGCUCCGGCUAACUUCGUGCCAGCCGCCGCCGUAACAC
rnacentral:rRNA from 1 species